UACCGGAUGCUCCGCUCCAUCGCAUGGUGGGGUGGGAAAUGCUUUUGCGGCAUGGGAUGGGGUCGCGUCCUAUCAGCUUGUUGGCGGGGUGAUGGCCCACCAAGGCGUUGACGGGUAGCCGGCCUGAGAGGGUGACCGGCCACAUUGGGACUGAGAUACGGCCCAGACUCCUACGGGAGGCAGCAGUGGGGAAUAUUGCACAAUGGGCGCAAGCCUGAUGCAGCGACGCCGCGUGCGGGAUGGAGGCCUUCGGGUUGUAAACCGCUUUUGUUCAAGGGCAAGGCACGGUUUCGGCCGUGUUGAGUGGAUUGUUCGAAUAAGCACCGGCUAACUACGUGCCAGCAGCCGCGGUAAUACGUAGGGUGCGAGCGUUAUCCGGAUUUAUUGGGCGUAAAGGGCUCGUAGGCGGUUCGUCGCGUCCGGUGUGAAAGUCCAUCGCCUAACGGUGGAUCUGCGCCGGGUACGGGCGGGCUGGAGUGCGGUAGGGGAGACUGGAAUUCCCGGUGUAACGGUGGAAUGUGUAGAUAUCGGG
rnacentral:rRNA from 1 species